rnacentral:rRNA from 1 species
GGGUGACGAGCGGCGGACGGGUGAGUAAUGUCUGGGAAACUGCCUGAUGGAGGGGGAUAACUACUGGAAACGGUAGCUAAUACCGCAUAAUGUCGCAAGACCAAAGAGGGGGACCUUCGGGCCUCUUGCCAUCAGAUGUGCCCAGAUGGGAUUAGCUAGUAGGUGGGGUAACGGCUCACCUAGGCGACGAUCCCUAGCUGGUCUGAGAGGAUGACCAGCCACACUGGAACUGAGACACGGUCCAGACUCCUACGGGAGGCAGCAGUGGGGAAUAUUGCACAAUGGGCGCAAGCCUGAUGCAGCCAUGCCGCGUGUAUGAAGAAGGCCUUCGGGUUGUAAAGUACUUUCAGCGGGGAGGAAGGCGUUGAGGUUAAUAACCUUGUCGAUUGACGUUACCCGCAGAAGAAGCACCGGCUAACUCCGUGCCAGCAGCCGCGGUAAUACGGAGGGUGCAAGCGUUAAUCGGAAUUACUGGGCGUAAAGCGCACGCAGGCGGUCUGUCAAGUCGGAUGUGAAAUCCCCGGGCUCAACCUGGGAACUGCAUUCGAAACUGGCAGGCUAGAGUCUUGUAGAGGGGGGUAGAAUUCCAGGUGUAGCGGUGAAAUGCGUAGAGAUCUGGAGGAAUACCGGUGGCGAAGGCGGCCCCCUGGACAAAGACUGACGCUCAGGUGCGAAAGCGUGGGGAGCAAACAGGAUUAGAUACCCUGGUAGUCCACGCCGUAAACGAUGUCGACUUGGAGGUUGUGCCCUUGAGGCGUGGCUUCCGGAGCUAACGCGUUAAGUCGACCGCCUGGGGAGUACGGCCGCAAGGUUAAAACUCAAAUGAAUUGACGGGGGCCCGCACAAGCGGUGGAGCAUGUGGUUUAAUUCGAUGCAACGCGAAGAACCUUACCUACUCUUGACAUCCAGAGAACUUUCCAGAGAUGGAUUGGUGCCUUCGGGAACUCUGAGACAGGUGCUGCAUGGCUGUCGUCAGCUCGUGUUGUGAAAUGUUGGGUUAAGUCCCGCAACGAGCGCAACCCUUAUCCUUUGUUGCCAGCGGUCCGGCCGGGAACUCAAAGGAGACUGCCAGUGAUAAACUGGAGGAAGGUGGGGAUGACGUCAAGUCAUCAUGGCCCUUACGAGUAGGGCUACACACGUGCUACAAUGGCGCAUACAAAGAGAAGCGACCUCGCGAGAGCAAGCGGACCUCAUAAAGUGCGUCGUAGUCCGGAUUGGAGUCUGCAACUCGACUCCAUGAAGUCGGAAUCGCUAGUAAUCGUAGAUCAGAAUGCUACGGUGAAUACGUUCCCGGGCCUUGUACACACCGCCCGUCACACCAUGGGAGUGGGUUGCAAAAGAAGUAGGUAGCUUAACCUUCGGGAGGG